GGAUUUGCAGUCCUGAAAUGAGAAUAUUUGAUAGACCGAUUCCUGUUUGGAAGCCAUUUUGAAAGCCCCGUGAUCCCUGAUUUCUUUCUGUCUGCCAUCCUGUUACUCUCAGCUGACCGAGUGAAGCCUCAGAUGUGGGACACCUGCACAUGAGCUGUCCGUGGUGCUGUUUGUGCUCUGCAGCAGGCCAGCUGCAACAUGCGUUCAUCAUAUCAGCAACGAGUUGCAUCCCUUCACAGCCUGCUGAACAUGCUCAUCUGGAAUCAAGCUGUUAAAUGAGCUAGAAACUUGAAAUCUGUACACGUAUGCGUUCGUGAGAAAUCAAGCACACAGAUCUGAAUAAAUAGUGCAAUUAUUUUAAUGUUUUCAUCUGAAGGUGGGGCCUAUUUUGUAUAGAAGUACUUGAAUU